GGAUUGCCUCAGUAACGGCGAGUGAAGCGGCAACAGCUCAAAUUUGAAAUCUGGCUUUCGGGCCCGAGUUGUAAUUUGCAGAGGGGAUUUCGGAGGCGACGCCGGCCUAAGUUCCUUGGAACAGGGCGUCAUAGAGGGUGAGAAUCCCGUACGUGGCCGGCGGUCAAUUCCAUGUGAAACCCCUUCGACGAGUCGAGUUGUUUGGGAAUGCAGCUCAAAAUGGGUGGUAAAUUUCAUCUAAAGCUAAAUACCGGCCAGAGACCGAUAGCGCACAAGUAGAGUGAUCGAAAGAUGAAAAGCACUUUGGAAAGAGAGUUAAAAAGUACGUGAAAUUGUUGAAAGGGAAGCGCUUGCAAUCAGACUUUGCUCGCGGGUGAUCAGCCUCCCUUCGCGGGGGGUGCACUCGCCCGCGAUCAGGCCAGCAUCGGUUUCGACGGGCGGAUAAAGGCCCCAGGAAUGUAGCUCCCUUCGGGGGAGUGUUAUAGCCUGGAGUACCAUGCGCCCAGUCGGGACCGAGGACCGCGCUUCGGCUAGGAUGCUGGCGUAAUGGUUGUAAGCGACCCGUCUUGAAACACGGACCAAGGAGUCUAACAUCUAUGCGAGUGUUUGGGUGAUAAACCCAUGCGCGGAAUGAAAGUGAACGGAGGUGGGAGCCCUCUUCGGGGGGCGCRCCAUCGACCGAUCCAGAUGUCUUYGGAUGGAUUUGAGUAGGAGCAUAGCUGUUGGGACCCGAAAGAUGGUGAACUAUGCCUGGAUAGGGUGAAGCCMGAGGAAACUCUGGUGGAGGCUCGCAGCGGUUCUGACGUGCAAAUCGAUCGUCAAAUCUGGGUAUAGGGGCGAAAGGCAAGCUCCCCAAUUGAUUCUUUUUAUGGAUAAUAUGCUAACAAUUUUUUUUUUAGACUAAUCGAACCAUCUAGUAAAUCGYUACUAGAAACACUGAAUUAAAUUCGAUAAUAGGCCCGUGAGUGCCUCAGUAGUCCCCCCGGCACCGGGGGGGCC
rnacentral:rRNA from 1 species